rnacentral:lncRNA from 1 species
UCAAGGCAGAAUAGCUCCUGAUCUUGCUUGAAUUCAAUCCCUCUUCAACCAUUUCUCCCAUCUUUACCAAAUCUAUGAAAGGCUUGCCAAUGGCUGAGAUCAAAUGGCCAUAGUAAGUGGGAUCCAGGGCUUGAAGAAAUUAUUUAACCAUCUCGUCUUCUUCCAUUGGAGGAUUGACUCGUGCAACUUUCUCCCUCCAUCGGAACUCAUAUUUUCUAAAGCUUUCAUUGGGUUUCUUUCCCAUGUUGGUCAGAGAUAAGCGAUCUGGGACAAUGUCUAUAUUCUACUGAAAGUGUCGGGCGAAGGCCUGAGCCAUAUCAUCUCAUGUGUACCAUCCGCUAGUGUCCUGGCAGGUGUACCAUUCUAGAGCUACCCCAAUCAAGCUCUGGCUGAAAUACGCCAUCACUAAUUCGUCUUUUCUCCCAGCGCCUCUCAUUUUACUGCAAUAACCCUUCAUAUGGGCUAUAGGAUCCCCAUGUCCAUCAUACAAAUCAAACUUGGGCAUCUUGAACCCGACAUGCAAUUAGACAUCAGGGAACAAACAUAAAUCCUUAUAAGCAACACUCACCUGGCUUCCUAACCCUUGUAUGUUUCUCAAUAAUUGCUCCAUACUCUUUACCUUCCUAAAUAUCUCUUCUUGCUCUGCGUUCUUGGGCAGUUUCUAAGUUUUGACAUGAGGCUCAAGGUAGGAAGUGUAGGAAUAAGGAACUGGGACAUUGAAAGUGGGUUUCGAGGCACAAUAUUGGGUAUCUGGAACUGGGGAUGCGGUUGUUUUGGCUGGUUGAACAUGAAAAAUUUCGGAGGAAGUGCCAAGGUAAUUUUGAUAAGGGGUAAAGCAUGGUAUGUGUUGUGGCGAGAGAUCAACGGUAUUGGGCAUCUGGGAUUGUGAGAGUGGCGGGAUAGUUGCAGGGUUUUCAGUAUAGUUAUUGGGGAAUGAAGGUGAAAGAUGCCCCCUGAUCAAAGACUGAUACAUUUCUGCCAUCUGUUGUUUCAACCUUUGGACCUCCUCCUUCAAUUCAGAUUCCGACCCCACAAUCUCCCUCGAGG